rnacentral:tRNA from 1 species
GGCGAUAUAGUCAAGUGGUAAGACAAGGGACUGCAAAAUCCUCCAUACCCCAGUUCGAAUCUGGGUGUCGC